rnacentral:rRNA from 1 species
AGCAGCCGCGGUAAUUCCAGCUCCAAUAGCGUAUAUUAAAGUUGUUGCAGUUAAAAAGCUCGUAGUUGAAUUUUAGGCCUGACCGGACGGUCCGUCUCUGGCGAGUACUGUUCUGCUGUCGGGUCUAUCCUUCUGGUGAGCCGGUAUGCCCUUUAUUGGGUGUGUCGGGGAACCAGGACCAUUACCUUGAAAAAAUUAGAGUGUUUAAAGCGGGCUUUUGCUUGAAUAGAUUAGCAUGGAAUAAUAGAAUAGGACGUUGGUUCUAUUUUGUUGGUCUAGGACCACCGUAAUGAUUAAUAGGGAUAGUUGGGGCAUUAGUAUUCAAUUGUCAGAGGUGAAAUUCUUGGUAUUUAUUGAAGACUAACUACUG